rnacentral:lncRNA from 1 species
UUGCUUACAAAUCACAACUGAUAAAAGUAGAAACUGUGAGGGUGGAGAGCCAGUAUACAACACUUCGACUACUGUUAAUACAAAUCCAAAGCGGAAAACGAAAACAAUCAGAAUGGCCGUUUACAAGUUUCUAAAUCACUUCUUAAACCUCCCCCAGUAAGACCCACACCUCUAGGAUGUCUUGAAUCUCUUGUUGUUGAGCAAACUAGGAUUCUGGCAGUACACUGUCUUAGGUUUUUCCCUCUCUUAAGCAAGCCUCCAUCCUAAUCCUCCUGGAUUUGUCAGAUGUAUACAUAUACCCACAGUUUUUCUCCCCAACAAGUUAAAUAGAACUUUCUUCCCUCCCACCAAGGCAACAAUGCUAAUCUAUUCUCUGAACUCAUUUUUCACUAUAUUCCUUAGAGCCCACAGUCAGUGUGGUCCAAGAAGGCCGAGGUCAUAACUCCAGCUAUAUCCAGAAUCCAUACGACCUACCUAAGAACAGCCAUAUUCCUGGUCACUAUGACCUCCUCCCAGUAAGACAGAGCCCUGCCCAUGGGCCCUUCCAGGAAAAGCAGUAAGAGGGAUAAGCGUCUCUCUUAGUGUGCUCUGCUGACUAUUUUCUGACUCUGAAAGAAGACAAUCCAUGACUUGAAAUAUCAGUACAGAAUGCCUUGAGCUGUGUGUUAUUAGUUCCUUCACCUGGAUUGAAAGAAACACUUCCAAACGGGACUGGGGUAACUGUUCAAGAAAGUCUGUUCACAAAGGCAAAUCCUAUCAACCUUUCAGCUCUAAAUGUCCUGGAUAUGAUUUUUCAGAACAUUAAAGAUACCACUUUUCAUCAGCAUCAGCUAAAAGCUAUGUAUUUAAUAUUCUGAAACAUCGCUUAAGAAGCAUGUAGCUUAGGUUCCUCAAGCCUUCCAAGAAGGAAAAGGAAACUGGGAGGGGAGGGGGCACUUAAAGUGCCUGAAAUGUGUAUGUGCUGUUGAUUGUUGUUAUCCUCAACAUCUGUUUCAGUAUCUAAGGGAAUUGGUAUGUGGGCAUGAACUGUUCUAAUAUUAAUCUUGGUCUCUGUUCAUUUGGUAUGCCCCAGCAAAUUAUAACAGCCACAAUCAGAGUUUAAAAUAUAACCUAAUUCUUUAAUCAAGACAGGUUCACUUUCUUCUGCCCUAUCAGUAAUAGUAGGCAAAACAGAAAGGGGGAAAAGAGCAGCAGUUUCACUCACUCUAGAAUGAUUUCUAUGCCAGCCUUACCAAAUUUUGCCAAGUCAAAGUUCAAGAAUAACGAAUGCCAAUCCUGGCCUGGCUGCAUUGCAUUGGUUCACCCAAUACUUGAGUCAUUCUGUGUGCACCAGAGAACUAAGAUGCUGUUUUAAGAAAAUGGUCACAGGGCUGGGAAUGUAGCUUAGUGGUAGAUGUUCUUGCCUACUGAGCAAGGACCUGGGAUAGAUCAGCAGCAUCAUAUAAAAGGCAUAGGCUUAUAAUGAAGUUUCCCCAACAACAUAAUUAGAUCACUCAAGUUACUUAGUCGGAGUUCCUUGACUUGUUUAUGGGCAGUUCUUCAUAGAUGGUGCUUGAUGUAGUAUGGAACCUUAAGGUGUAGAAAAUAUUACACAAAUGUGGGCAUGGCACACUUAUGUUGCUUAGCAUACAUUAUGUUUUUGAUGCAACUAAAUGAAAUAAAUGUAAAAC